CCCCCAAGGUCGCCAUUUUCCCAUGUAUUUGUUCCUAUCCCGAUGCGUGCAAUGCCGGAGGCCGCCCUUAGAUACCCCAUUGUUACCAGACGUUGGCUUGCGUUAGAUUGUAGCGCGCUAAAGAUCCAGUUGAAGCACAAUCCAAGCCAGGCCAAGUCACCGAAGGAGAAAUGGACGACUGCGCCUGCGGCGCCUGGUACGACAGGUACGCUAUGUGAUGCACGCAGCCGUGCACUAGAUCCUUCCGAUCGCUCAACACGUUUAAAAACGGGACCAAAAAGUGAAACACAACACAGAAAGUUGUUAUACGCGUUUUAUUUGGACAUAUAAAGACUAGAUUCAUUCGCAGAAACAACAAAAACAUUUUGCCGCUAAACUUAGCGCGCUGAAGUGAUCCGGAACGGCAACAGUGGGGUAUCUAGUGGCGGCCUUCUUCGUUGCACGCUUUUCCGAGAUGCUCGUGUAGGUCCUUGCAUCAACAUCACCAUCUCCAACCUUUUCAACAUGGGGAAGUGUCUGAAAAACGGUCUGGAGCUCUG